rnacentral:lncRNA from 1 species
GUCUUAACAAGUAAAAACAGAGAGGAAUAGCUGGUCAUCUGCUACAUUCAAAAAAUCCAAACAAAGAGAAUGCAUGCAGGCAACCUAUAAUAAGAAGAUAAGAGCUUAUAUUCCAGAAACAAAAGUCCCUGAAAGCAACUGUGAGUAAAGCACACAGACUUGUAUUGAAUCCUUUGCAGAGUUUUGAACUCUCUAUUUUAAACCCUCUGUUGUUUUGGACCUUCUGCAGAGUCAAUAGGCUGAGUCAAAUGUCUUCUUGGCAUAGAUUUUAUUGCAAUUGUCAACAGGGCAAGAGAAUAAUGCAGUGAGUUGUUAAUGAGAAGACCUGCUCAUCUUGCUUCUGGAUCCCAAGUCCCCAGAGGACCCUGGCUCAACUCCAGCUUAGUGUUGGAACUCUAGCAGUUGGAUGCCUUGAUCUAGAGGGAAACCAGUGCUUUUCCCCAUUUAUCAUCCUCUUACAGAAGAAUUUCACUUGCAGCAACUUUGAACUGCCUCUGAACUCACUCAUGCUGCAGAAGAAUCCAUGCCUGUUUGUUGAUAUUUUGUUUUUCAUGCCUGAAGAGCACAACUGGAACAAACAAGAAGUUGGAGAAGGUGCUUGGAAUGCUGAUGGAGUUGAAUCAGCAAGAGGGCCUGACUGAGAAGGCAGAGGAUUUCUGACUCCACAGUUGGCCCUGCCGAGUUGGAGGUGCCCUUCCUGCCUCAACAUCCACCAACUAACUACCGGAGAGCUUUGGGGUAUGAUGUAGAGGGGAAGAAGGGGAAAGGUGUGGUGUGGAGAGGGGAUGGAGUGGGAUGAGGUGGAAACCCUGGCUGGUCUUGAGGGCUAGAAACCAACGAGCUCUGUGACCUUGGGGAUGUUCCUUAACCUCUCUGGGCUUACUCCUGCUUUGUACUACAGCGAGUUUAAGCUAUGUUUGCUGCUAGUUCAGG